rnacentral:misc_RNA from 1 species
GAAAUGCGAUAAUUAAUGUGAAUUGCAGAAUUCAGUGAAUCAUCGAGUCUUUGAACGCACAUUGCGCCCCCUGGUAUUCCGGGGGGCAUGCCUGUCCGAGCGUCAUUGCUGCCCUCAAGCACGGCUUGUGUGUUGGGCUUCCGUCCCUGGCAACGGGGACGGGCCCAAAAGGCAGUGGCGGCACCAUGUCUGGUCCUCGAGCGUAUGGGGCUUUGUCACCCGCUCCCGUAGGUCCAGCUGGCAGCUAGCCUCGCAACCAAUCUUUUUAACCAGGUUGACCUCGCAUCAGGUAGGGAUACCCGCUGAACUUAAGC